AUCUGAAGGAAUUGGCGGGGAAUAUCAGGGUCAUUUCUUAGAUUGACCUUCAUAAGUAAUAGAGGCCUUUUGUAUUGAUGUUGCAUUUUUAAAAGGCAGCUUGGCAUUGACUGGGGCUUGGGGUGGGAGGAACACUAGAUGAGGAGGAGGCAAGCCCAGUCCAGGCUGUGUUGUGGUCUCCCUUGUUUAGCCGUUUGAUUCAAGGAGGCCCUGUGUAAUCCCAAAACCCAAAACCCUCUCAGUGUUCUGAAGUUUAUUUCUCCUUUUAAAGAGGAUAACUUGCUUUGCAACUCAAAGGAUAUUUUAACCACAAUUGCUGUUGCAUUUGUAUAUUAUAGUGAAGAUUUCAGACUUAUGUUUGUCC
rnacentral:lncRNA from 1 species